AGAGUUUGAUCCUGGCUCAGAAUCAACGCUGGCGGCGUGCCUCAGACAUGCAAGUCGAACGCGAAAGUUCCCUUCGGGGGGCAAGUAGAGUGGCGCACGGGUGAGUAACACGUAGGUAAUCUACCUUUGGAUUGGGAAUAACCACCGGAAACGGUGGCUAAUACCGAAUAAUGCAGCGGCACCUAAUGGUGACAGUUGUUAAAGCGGGGGAUCGCAAGACCUCGCGUCUGAAGAGGAGCCUGCGGCAGAUUAGCUAGUUGGUAAGGUAACGGCUUACCAAGGCGAUGAUCUGUAGCCGGCCUGAGAGGGCGGUCGGCCACACUGACACUGACAUACGGGUCAGACUCUUACGGGAGGCAGCAGUCGGGAAUUUUGGGCAAUGGGCGAAAGCCUGACCCAGCAACGCCGCGUGAAGGAUGAAAUCCCUCGGGACGUAACCUUCGCAAGAACGGGAAGAAUAAGUAAGGGUUAAUAUCUCUUACGAUGACGGCUACCUGUUUAAGUUAAGUUC
rnacentral:rRNA from 1 species